ACUAGCUUGACUCCUCCGUCUUCCAUUGACGUCGCUGCACGGAGCUCUGAAGCUUCGAAUAUCAAAAUAGCACCUUCCUUAGGAUCAUAGCAUUCGUCGGAUUGGAUAUGAAGAAAGGAAUACACCCACAGAUGCAAUGGAUAUCGUAUGUGACGCAGAGCGGGAGAUUGAUGCAUGUCAUGAUGACAAGGAUUCACCAUACUGGUAAAGUCUACCACUUUAGGGCUAAGCGUCAAAUGGCUGAGAGCAUUGGUCAGAUCGCUAAGUUCAAACGCCGUUACAACGAGCAAGAGGUCCAAGAGGAUGAGAAGAAAUGAUUGCACAAUGCAGACAGAGGGUUACUUCUUCUCAUCCCCCAACCCAACGGAUGGAUGGCUACAUAUCGGAUAUCCGGAGUAUUUGGAUUUGUGUUCGGGAAUCUCAUUUUAUGAUUUGCACUCGAAUUUAAAGAUUACGAGUAUUCGAGGUACAAGUAUUCCUGAAUAUUUGGAUUUAAUAAUAUUUAUAGAUUUAAAAAAAAAUAAAGUUGUGAUUAUAGUAUA